GAAACGACUCUCGGCAACGGAUAUCUCGGCUCUCGCAUCGAUGAAGAACGCAGCAAAAUGCGAUACUUGGUGUGAAUUGCAGAAUCCCGUGAACCAUCGAGUUUUUGAACGCAAGUUGCGCCCGAAGCCAUUAUGCUGAGGGCACGUCUGCCUGGGCGUCACGC
rnacentral:rRNA from 2 species